GACGUAGGUGGCGAACGUUUAUCCGGAAUUAUUGGGCGUAAAGGGUGCGUAGAUGGUUGGAAAAGUUAGUGGUGGGAAAUCGAGGCCCAACCUCGUGGAAACUAUUAAUACUAUCCGACUAGAGAACAGGAGAGGUUGACGGAACUCUAUGUGGAGCGGUAAAAUGCGACGAUAUAUAGAAGAACACCAAUAAAGGCGAAGGCAGUUAACUAUUCUGUUUCUGACAUUGAGGCACGAAAGCGUGGGGAGCAAAAAGG
rnacentral:rRNA from 1 species